rnacentral:sRNA from 1 species
UUCAGUCGGAUCUGUUUAUACUCUUGCUUAUAUGCAAGCUUAAUAAUUUCCGGUCUUGGAUCGGACUUUUGUUUCCGGUUAUGUCCGGUCUCCUUUCUCGCUUAUAGCGAGUUUAGAUCUUCUUAUCCUCUUUGGCUUUAAUCAUCGAAGUCUUCGAUUGUCUUCCAACUUCUCUCCGAUAUCUCCAAUUGCUCGAGGAAUAAUAUCUUCGUCACUCUCCUUUUGCUCAAAAUCGAUGAGCAACGAAGGAUCUUAGUCUACAUCAAAUUGGGUGUAGCUGGUGGUGGAGCCUCCCCGGAGUUGGUGCUUCCCGGAGAAAUUUUGAAGCGAUUUCAUCUAAACCCGGUAGAUUUCGAUGCUAUCUUAUACAGGAUUGAAGAUCGGCAGAAGGAAUGAAGACCCCAGCGUUCUAGGGCUGACACGCGACGGCUAAUCAGCGCUUGGGAGAUGAGCGGCGAAUUAUAGACGGUGGUGCUUCAUGAAAAGACGCGUGGUUUCAAGGGAAAUACGUCUUCUCCACGUGUCAUAUGCUAACUCAUAAUUAUCAUGAUAUGUUAAUGUUAAUUAUGUUUUUAGUUUGGGCCGUUUAAUUCGCUUGUACUCUUCUUGGACCUUCUGUAUGUUGCCCUUUGGGCAUAUAAAUGAAUUUGGUCGACAAAAAAAAAAAAAGAAGAAAUGCUUUUUUGGGCAGGACAGAACGUUUAAGUUUUUGGAUCUGACCAUGUAAUGGAUGGAUAAAGCUAAAUAUGUGGGUGGUACUUCAAGAGGGAAUACUGGACUAGCAGCUGUGAGGGGAGUAAUGAGGAAUGAGGCAGAAGACUGGUGCAAGUGUUUUCACUCAACAUUGGUAUAUGCUUUGCUCUGUUAGCAGAACUUUAGGAAGUAUAUUAUGGUAUGAACAUUACAUGGGAAAAGGGAGUUCAAAGGCUAGAACUCGAGGUCGAUUCAGAGAUUGUAGUUGGUUUUCUUAAGGUAGAGAUUAUUAAUACUCAUCUGCUGUCAUUCCUAUUAUGUUUGUGAUAUGGCUUUUUAUUGAAGGACUG